rnacentral:misc_RNA from 1 species
AGUGAGACGGGUGAUUGAAAUGCUGAAGCAUGAGCUUGAGCUCACUAUGGCCCUUUCUGGCUGUCCUAGUUUGAAAGAUAUUACGAGGAGUCAUGUGAAAACUGAGAGUGAGAGAUUCCAAUCCAUGCUUUAAUAUUCUUUUGAAGUAUCCUCUAAUGGUUUCAGAAAAUCAAUAAUGGUUCUCUGAACCACAAGAUAUGAGCUUAAUGUAUAUAGGCUGUUCUCAGCAGUGAACUCAACUUCCAUAUCUGUUUAAUUUCAAAU